GACGAACGCUGGCGGCGUGCCUAAUACAUGCCAGUUGAGCGAUGAAGCUUGGUGCUUGCCCCAAUUUGAAGAGCAGCGAACGGGUGAGUAACGCGUGGGGAAUCUGCCUUUGAGCGGGGGACAACAUUUGGAAACGAAUGCUAAUACCGCAUAACAACUUUAAACAUAAGUUUUAAGUUUGAAAGAUGCAAUUGCAUCACUCAAAGAUGAUCCCGCGUUGUAUUAGCUAGUUGGUGAGGUAAAGGCUCACCAAGGCGAUGAUACAUAGCCGACCUGAGAGGGUGAUCGGCCACAUUGGGACUGAGACACGGCCCAAACUCCUACGGGAGGCAGCAGUAGGGAAUCUUCGGCAAUGGACGAAAGUCUGACCGAGCAACGCCGCGUGAGUGAAGAAGGGUUUCGGAUCGUAAAACUCGGUUGGUAGAGAAGAACGUUGGUGAGAGUGGAAAGCUCAUCAAGUGACGGUAACUACCCAGAAAGGGACGGCUAACUACGUG
rnacentral:rRNA from 1 species